AUUGAACGCUGGCGGCAGGCCUAACACAUGCAAGUCGAGCGAGCGGCGGACGGGUGAGUAAUGUCUGGGAAACUGCCUGAUGGAGGGGGAUAACUACUGGAAACGGUAGCUAAUACCGCAUACCAUCAGAUGUGCCCAGAUGGGCUUAGCUGGUAGGUGGGGUAACGGCUCACCUAGGCGACGAUCCCUAGCUGGUCUGAGAGGAUGACAAGCCCCACUGGACAGGAGACACGGUCCAAACUCCGUCGGUAGGCAGACGUGGGGAAGAUUGCACAAUGUGCGCAAGCCUGAUGCAGCCAUGCGGCGUGUGUGAAGAAGGCCUUCGGGUUGUAAAGCACUUUCAGCGGGGAGGCGUUACCCGCAGAAGAAGCACCGGCUAACUCCGUGCCAGCAGCCGCGGUAAUAC
rnacentral:rRNA from 1 species